CGGAAAGUUAUCAGGAAGAUGUUGCAACAUUUAUUAAUCCAGUUGUACAUCUUUAAUUGACGUUCCUAGAAUAUAGUUCGGAAUUUUACACUAGUCGCAAAUGAACCAUAGCUUUAUUUGGGUUUCAGUUUGAUUUCGUACAC
rnacentral:snoRNA from 1 species